rnacentral:rRNA from 1 species
GAUGAACGCUAGCUACAGGCUUAACACAUGCGAGUCGAGGGGAAACGGCAUUGAGUGCUUGCACUCUUUGGACGUCGACCGGCGCACGGGUGAGUAACGCGUAUCCAACCUUCCCAUUACUGUGGGAUAACCUGCCGAAAGGCGGACUAAUACCGCAUAGUCUUCGAUGACGGCAUCAGAUUUGAAGUAAAGAUUUAUCGGUAAUGGAUGGGGAUGCGUCUGAUUAGCUUGUUGGCGGGGUAACGGCCCACCAAGGCUACGAUCAGUAGGGGUUCUGAGAGGAAGGUCCCCCACAUUGGAACUGAGACACGGUCCAAACUCCUACGGGAGGCAGCAGUGAGGAAUAUUGGUCAAUGGACGGAAGUCUGAACCAGCCAAGUAGCGUGCAGGAUGACGGCCCUAUGGGUUGUAAACUGCUUUUGUAUGGGGAGAAAGUUAGGGACGUGUCCCUAUUUGCAGGUACCAUACGAAUAAGGACCGGCUAAUUCCGUG